rnacentral:rRNA from 1 species
ACGAACGCUGGCGGCAUGCCUAACACAUGCACGUCGAACGAGACCUUCGGGUCUAGUGGCGCACGGGUGCGUAACGCGUGGGAACCUGCCCUUAGGUUCGGAAUAACUCCCCGAAAGGGGUGCUAAUACCGGAUAAUGUCUUCGGACCAAAGAUUUAUCGCCUUUGGAUGGGCCCGCGUUGGAUUAGCUAGUUGGUAGGGUAAAAGCCUACCAAGGCGACGAUCCAUAGCUGGUCUGAGAGGAUGAUCAGCCACACUGGGACUGAGACACGGCUCAGACUCCUACGGGAGGCAGCAGUGGGGAAUAUUGGACAAUGGGCGAAAGCCUGAUCCAGCAAUGCCGCGUGAGUGAUGAAGGCCUUAGGGUUGUAAAGCUCUUUUACCCGGGAUGAUAAUGACAGUACCGGGAGAAUAAGCUCCGGCUAACUCCGUG